rnacentral:misc_RNA from 1 species
AUCUAUAUAUCUAUAACAUAUAUAUGUAUAUGUAUAUACGGUUGUCCUCUUGAUGGUAUAAUGGCACGUCAAAGGAGGAGGGGGAGGGGGGGGGAAUGCCUGCAUGUCGUGGAAUUCGAGACGAGGCAGAAACUACGACAAAAAAAAAAACAGAAGGAAAAUAGGAAGUGAUGUCUUCUUUCUCCUCUUCGCGCUCCUUCUCUCUCUGUAUCCUCGCCAACAUAGCACGCGUCUUGAAAAACUCAGCAUACCAACGAAAGAAGGCAGAGGCGCGCUCUAGCCUCUCCCUCCCUCCCUCUCCGUCUCUCUCCGACUUUUUUGGUUACCGUGGGCCACACACCUUCUCUGCACGCGCGCGUCGAAGGAAACGGAGCGCCCAACUAGAGUGAGCGGUGGUCGGCGAUGAGGUGGGGUGGGGUGGGUGGGUGAGGGACUCGGCAGAGAGAUGCCAAGAAGAAGAAAACGGCUCUCCUCAGGCUCGCGUGCAUUUGACCCUUGAGUUGUCUUCUACACGAGCAUCGGUGACACUGCUGGUGCCCUCGUGGUAAAGGAUCGAUAUAUAUAUAUAUAUAUAUAUAUAUAUUCGUUUGUUUGUGCGGGCGCUUCUUGAUGUUGUGAAGAGCCUUUGGUGACCUUCAUCUCCGUCAUCAUCUUUCCCUCUUUCACCUCCUACUUUGCCCGUCCUCACGCCCACACAG